GCCCUGAUUGAUUAAUGGCAAAUCACCCACACCCUUUAGCUUUCUGGCGAUUUGAUGUGGGAGAUGGAGGUUCGAAUCCUCCCUGGGGCA